rnacentral:rRNA from 1 species
AAAACGACUCUCGGCAACGGAUAUCUCGGCUCUCGCAUCGAUGAAGAACGNANCGAAAUGCGAUACUUGGUGUGAAUUGCAGAAUCCCGUGAACCAUCGAGUCUUUGAACGCAAGUUGCGCCCGAAGCCGUCAGGCCGAGGGCACGUCUGCCUGGGCGUCACGC